AUGGUGCUCUCACCUUGUCACUGCAAAUAUGCUUGGCUGUUAGUUUCCCUCCAUUUCCCUAUUGCUUCAAACAAACUUGUUGAUGUAAACACAAAGCUAGCUGGUCAAGGACUAGGAGUGAAGAAUCGAAGGAGAGACGAGCUCACGAGCAUGGCGAAUGCUACAGCUCAGCUGAGCAGCAAGGCACGCUUCUUCUUCUUAGUCGUCUUCUCAUUGUCGCUCGUGUGCCGCGCCGGGGCGUCCAAUGGCGCUGCCGCCACGGGCGACGAGGCGGCGAUGCUGCUGGCCAUCAGGGCCUUGCUCGCCGACCCACUGGGGGAGCUCAGUGGCUGGGGCUCCGCGCCGCAUUGCGGCUGGAAGGGCGUGCGCUGCGACGACCGGGGCGCGGUCACCGGCCUUGACCUCGCGGGCAUGAACCUGAGCGGCACCAUCCCGGACGACGUCCUCGGCCUCAGCGCGCUCACCUCGGUCGUGCUCCGCGGCAACGCGUUCGCGGGCGGGCUACCGGCCGCGCUGGUGUCGAUCCCGACGCUCCGGGAGCUCGACGUCAGCGAUAACGGCUUCACCGGCCUGUUCCCGGCCGGCCUCGGCUCGUGCGCCUCGCUGGCGCAUUUCAACUCCUCCGGCAACGACUUCGUCGGCCCGCUCCCGGCCGACCUCGGCAACGCCACCGAGCUCGAGACCCUCGACGUCAGGGGCGGCUUCUUCUCUGGCACGAUCCCCGAGAGCUACGGCAGGCUCCGGAAGCUCGAGUUCUUGGGGCUCGCGGGCAACAACCUCAGCGGCGCUCUCCCGGCUGUGCUAUUCGAGCUCACGGCGUUAGAGCAGAUCAUCAUCGGCUACAACGAGUUCACCGGCCCGAUCCCAGCGGCCAUCGGCAAGCUCAAGAACCUCCGGUACCUUGACAUGGCGAUCGGCGGCUUGGAAGGCCCCAUCCCACCCGAGCUCGGCCGGCUGCCGGCGCUCGACACCGUGUUCCUUUACGGGAACAACGUCGGCGGUGAGAUACCCAAGGAGCUCGGCAACCUGGCCUCCCUCGUCAUGCUCGACCUCUCUGAAAAUGCACUCACCGGCGCGAUCCCACCGGAGCUGGCGCAGCUCGCCAACCUGCAGCUGCUCAACAUCAUGUGCAACCGGCUCAAGGGCGGCGUCCCGGCGGGCGUCGGUGAGCUUCCCAGGCUUGAGGUGCUCCAGCUGUGGAACAACUCCCUCACCGGCCCGCUGCCGCUGUCGCUCGGCGCCGAGCAUCCACUGCAGUGGCUCGACGUGUCGACGAACGCGCUCUCCGGGCCGGUGCCCGCCGGCCUCUGCGGCAGCGGCAACCUGACCGGGCUGAUACUGUUCAACAAUGCCUUCACGGGCCCGAUCCCGACGAGCCUCGCCACGUGCUCGUCGCUGGUCCGCGUGCGCGCGCACAACAACCGGCUGAACGGCGCGGUGCCGACGGCGCUCGGGCGAUUGCAUCGCCUGGAUCGCCUGGAGCUGGCCGGGAACGAGCUCUCCGGCGAGAUCCCGGACGACCUGGCGCUCUCGACGUCGCUCUCCUUCAUCGACCUCUCGCGCAACCGGCUGCGGUCGGCACUGCCGCCGCGCAUCCUGUCCAUUCCGACGCUGCAGACGUUCGCCGCAGCGGGGAACGAGCUGACCGGAGGCGUGCCGGACGAGCUGGGCGGUUGCCGGGCACUCUCCGCGCUUGAUCUGUCGGGCAACCGGCUCUCCGGCGCCAUCCCGGCGGGUCUCGCGUCGUGCCAGCGGCUCGCGGCGCUGAUCCUCAGGAGAAACCGCCUCGCCGGCGACAUCCCCAGGCCGUUCGCCACGAUGCCGGCACUGUCCGUCCUAGACCUCUCCAACAACCUCCUCUCCGGCGAGAUACCGAGCAACCUGGGCAGCUCGCCGGCGCUCGAGAUGCUCAGCGUGGCGUACAACAACCUCACCGGUCCCGUGCCGGCGACGGGGCUGAUGAGGACGAUCAACCCCGACGAGCUGGCCGGGAACCCGGGGCUCUGCGGCGGCGUGCUGCCCCCGUGCCUGGCCAACGCUUCAUCCUCGGAAGCGUCCUCCAGACUCCGGCGCUCGCACGCGAAGCUCAUCGCUGUCGGGUGGGCGAUCGGCAUCUCCGUCGCACUCGUGGCCUGCGGAGCCGUCUUCCUCGGUAAGGUGCUGCACCAGCGGCGGUACGCCAAUGGUGCUGGAUGCUGCGACGACGACGCCGCUGAGGAGGACGGGAGCGUCUCGACGGCGUUCCAGCGGCUAGGUUUCACCGGCGCCGAGGCGAUCGCGUGCGUCAAGGAGAACAACAUCGUCGGCAGCAAGUCCAGCCAUCCCUCAUGA
rnacentral:rRNA from 1 species